CAGCUCAGGGAGGCUGUGAUGUCAUCAACUAGUUUAUUAACUUCUCCAGAAGCCUGUUAAGAGUAUGGUACUUGCUCCAGCAUCCUCCAAUUCAGUCCUGCCCAGGCCAGAUCGGGGAAGUGGGGAAGUUAUGGUCCAUGCAAGAGUCAUACCCUGAACUUUAUGGGGUUUGCAGCAACCAGGUGCAGAACAGUGUCCCGCCCACUCUCAACAAGAGCCAGAGAACAGACAUGGGCAAGGAGGAUGUGGUAGGGGCCUGAAGACAAAAGAAGAGAGAUAAGAUAAAGGAGAGUAAUUGUGGAAAGAGAAAGGGCAGCUACAGAUGGUGAAACCGAGGACAGAAGAAGGAAAAGACCUGCUCAAAGUCACAGCGCAAGGUGAGGAAGAGUGAGGACCAGCACAAAGAUCUCCAGCACUUCCCAGACCAAGAUCUGUUCUUGCCUCUACUCUCGCUGCCU